CAGUAGCCACGGUAGUACGGAGGGUGCAAGCGUUAAUCGGAAUUACUGGGCGUAAAGCGCACGCAGGCGGUCUGUCAAGUCAGAUGUGAAAUCCCCGGGCUUAACCUGGGAACUGCAUUUGAAACUGGCAGGCUAGAGUCUUGUAGAGGGGGGUAGAAUUCCAGGUGUAGCGGUGAAAUGCGUAGAGAUCUGGAGGAAUACCGGUGGCGAAGGCGGCCCCCUGGACAAAGACUGACACUCAGGUGCGAACGCGUGGGGAGCAAACAGGAUUAGAUACCCCGGUAGUCCCUGUCUCUUAUAC
rnacentral:rRNA from 1 species